rnacentral:rRNA from 1 species
GAUGAACGCUGGCGGCGUGCCUAAUACAUGCAAGUCGAGCGAAUGGAUUAAGAGCUUGCUCUUAUGAAGUUAGCGGCGGACGGGUGAGUAACACGUGGGUAACCUGCCCAUAAGACUGGGAUAACUCCGGGAAACCGGGGCUAAUACCGGAUAACAUUUUGAACCGCAUGGUUCGAAAUUGAAAGGCGGCUUCGGCUGUCACUUAUGGAUGGACCCGCGUCGCAUUAGCUAGUUGGUGAGGUAACGGCUCACCAAGGCAACGAUGCGUAGCCGACCUGGGAGGGUGGUCGGCCACACUGGGACUGAGACACGGCCCGGACUCCGACGGGAGGCAGCAGUAGGGAAUCUUCCGCAAUGGACGAAAGUCUGACGGAGCAACGCCGCGUGAGUGAUGAAGGCUUUCGGGUCGUAAAACUCCGUUGUUAGGGAAGAACAAGUGCUAGUUGAAUAAGCUGGCACCUUGACGGUACCUAACCAGAAAGCCACGGCUAACUACGUGCCAGCCGCCGCUGUAA